GAGAGAGUUUCGCUAGAAACGGAGAUUGCUAAUUUUCGCGACCUUGGUUGAACCCCAAGGCUCACUCG
rnacentral:tRNA from 1 species